UGCCUGUAUAUAUGCAUAUAUAUUUCUCCAGUGCAGGAAGUAUUGUAUGGGGUCUUGGGACGAGACCAGUCCAGUGCUUUCUCAGGCGAAACCUGUGUGUAAGAGGGUGGCCGUGGAGUGGAGGGUAAUGGAGAGUUAAUGUAAACACUUAGUAAUACACUUAGUAAUAAAGGGAUAGAACGUAUAAUUUAACCACUCCCUCUCAAGGGAGUCUUGACCCACUCUUUGCCAGGGCUGGCUCUUGCUUCUGUUUUUGGCUGGGGUACCCACCCCAUUAUUGUUUUGGUGGUAAAUGUCUCAGACUGAUGCUUCAGGGCAGUCCAUGGUGUGAAAUCAGUGCUGAGAUGAGUGAAUAGAGCUGCUGUGUUGCCCUGAAACAGCUGUGCUUCAUUUUGAUAUGUUUAGCCUUUGGGCUAUAUAUAAAAAGUUAUGUUAUUAUAUAAUACUAUUAAUAGUAUGUAAUUUUAGUAGAUCUAGUAAGCUUUCCUAGAUCUUCCUCUGAUAGCAUGCUAGCAUGUGUCUGUACCUCACAAGGAAGUCUCAUAAAUGUAGAUAGAUCUAGUUUACAGAGCUAGUCUGAGAAAGCCACUUAAACAGUUAACUAGGAGAAAAAAUACGAAGGAUGAAUAUGGACAGUGACAUAAUCUUAUGGUGGCUCAGCUGUUGUUAAAAAAGCCAAAGUGAAAGUACCUCUAUCAGAGCUGCUGCACUUUGUGACAGGUUGCCAUUAAUGGGUUCUUUGCUCCCCUCUUGUAUUUUUCUGUCAGCUUUUGUAAUUUGUCCAGGAUUUUCAGACGUACACCAAUCCAGAAAUCCCAGCCAAGCAGUCACAGUACAUGUUGACUCUGUUACAUGCAAGAUGAAACUCGUAUGCAGGGCUGGUUGGGUCGGUGCAAUUACAUUGCCUGAACAAUCUGUGUCUGUGUGGGGAGCUGACUCGAAUGCUGAAUGUGCUGAGUUUCUGUUGCUUUUUGAUUUUCUGAUAUGGUUUGGUCUAGAAAGAUCUAAAGUGUCUUCUGUUAGACAGGGGAAGUUUCCCCAUACCCCAAAAUCUGACUAAUACCUGCUUCAUCCAGCAGUGGAGUUAUUCAGAGCCUCUACUUUCUCAGGUUGUUUAUAGGUUUGGAUGUUCAUACUGGCCCUGGCACCCCCUUAUACCCAGUGAAGCAUUUGAUUUUCAUUUUCUCAAAAGCACUACUGAUGCACAUCUUGGUCAUGCUGUGACACAGUCAUAAAGAACCAUGUUUAUACCUGGACCUCACAACUUACAGGAAAGUGUAUCUCUUGUGUAAGCAGCUGCUACUGUCUCAGCUGCUGGGUGUGCAAUAUUUUGAUUGUUGGAAGAUAAAGAAUAUGGAUUUCUGAGGUAUUGAGAAAACUGCAAGUCCAAUGAAAACCAGACCCCUUUCAAUCUGGCUCAUCUUCAUAUUGGUUCAUACUGGUUCAUGCUGCUGGAUGAAUUGCUUCAGUUCUAUAAACACUUGUAGAGCAAGGCAAGAAACACAUAAAGUCAACUGAAGCCAAGGAAAAGGUGCAAAUGAAAGGAAUGGGAGGUGUGAAAAUCUAUCACUGCUAGUCUUGAUACCUAGUUGCAAUCAUGAGCAUGGUCUCAGGCCAAAAGCUUAAAAUUUGUUUCUUUUUUGGACACAUGCAUUGGGGAAGGUGAAUUAUAUCUACUUUUUGAAAAGAUGGCCAGGUGUGUGGCUUUAGGGGUUGGCAUUUGGUGAUCUCUGGUAAAUGUAACUGAAUACUUGGUUUCUGUUAUGUUUCCCAGGCCUCCCUUGAGGGUUUGUUUCAAGCAAAUGGCAGUUGCAGGCUCCUAUUUUUCAGUGGAGAGAUUUUUCUGUUACCUUUGUUAUAUUUUGUUGAUGGCUAUUAAGGCAGCAGAGGAGAGCAUUCCAAUUAUAGUUGCUUGUAGGGUUCAUUUCCUAUCAGAAAUUGAUGUUGAAAUAUGUAUCUCAAAAAUAAUGAGCUCUUUCUUUGUGAAGGCAGAGUCAUCAUCAUUAUCAAAAUGUCAUUGCUGUGAAGAUCAGGAGGGGUUUUAAGGAUGUGGUAAUUUUGAUAUUACUUUUUUUUUUUCUUCUUUCUUGACUGACAGAGUCUUAAUUAGUUACGAUUAGCUAUUUUGUGGACUGGGUAUUGGUUGUACAGCCCCAAAAUAUGUAUUCAACAAAUACAGGAGUAAAAGGAGAAGAAAGGCUGCACCUGCUGUGCUUAUCUUGGAGAAAAGCUGCUCUUGUGUUUAGAAGAAAAACUUAGAACCUGGUGACUGAAGAUUGAUACUAGAAAACAGUGGUGGAACAUAUUGGAUGGAAUCUACAACUGGAGUGCCUACAACAAAAAAAUAUUCCCUUUUCUAUUAAGCACAGGAAUAUAUUUCAGCCAGAAAAAAGCAGCAACAGGAUUCCUUUCUUUCCAAUUCAAAUGUGACUUCCAUCCAUAUUUUGCACAGGCAGUUCUGCCCAGGGAUCCCUCAGAAUGAAUGAGCUGAAACUGAAAGCUCCUGUACCCUGACUAAUACCUUUAAGAAAAAGAGUGGUGCUUUAAAACAUGGUAAC